rnacentral:rRNA from 1 species
GACGAACGCUGGCGGCAGGCUUAACACAUGCAAGUCGAACGAGUGGCGGACGGGUGAGUAAUGCUUGGGAAUCUGGCUUAUGGAGGGGGAUAACUACGGGAAACUGUAGCUAAUACCGCGUACCAUAGGAUGAGCCCAAGUGGGAUUAGGUAGUUGGUGAGGUAAAGGCUCACCAAGCCGACGAUCUCUAGCUGGUCUGAGAGGAUGACCAGCCACACUGGGACUGAGACACGGCCCAGACUCCUACGGGAGGCAGCAGUGGGGAAUCUUCCGCAAUGGGCGAAAGCUGACGGAGCAACGCCGCGUGAGUGAUGAAGGUCUUCGGAUCGUAAAACUCUGUUAUUAGGGAAGCGGUAUCUAACCAGAAAGCCACGGCUAACUACGUGCCAGCAGCCGCGGUAAUUC